GGGGGGGGGGGGGGGGGGGGGGGGCGGAGGGAGGGCGGGCGGGGAGGGGCGGCGGGUGUGGGGGGCUCGGGUGGGGAACGGGGGAGUAACACGUGAGUAACCUGGCCUUGACUUUGGGGUAACUUCAGGAACCUGGGGCUAAUAGCCGAUAGGAGCUCCGGCUGCAUGGUGGGGGGUGGAAAGUUUCGGCGGUUGGGGAUGGACUCGCGGCGUAUCAGCUUGUUGGUGGGGUAGUGGCUUACCAAGGCUUUGACGGGUAGCCGGCCUGAGAGGGUGACCGGCCACAUUGGGACUGAGAUACGGCCCAGACUCCUACGGGAGGCAGCAGUGGGGAAUAUUGCACAAUGGGCGGAAGCCUGAUGCAGCAACGCCGCGUGCGGGAUGACGGCCUUCGGGUUGUAAACCGCUUUCGCCUGUGACGAAGCGUGAGUGACGGUAAUGGGUAAAGAAGCACCGGCUAACUACGUG
rnacentral:rRNA from 1 species